GUUUUAUUUGCCACCUGCUAGAAUUUGGCCGAGCCCAAUUCCCGCCCAGCCGCCCAGGUUUAGGGUUAGCGCUAUCUGGUCGCACUCCAGGCCGCCGCUUCUCCCCGUGCAGUCUCCUCCCUCCCCCGGCCGUGCUCCAGGCCACCGCCUUCUCCCCCAUGCAGCCGCCUCCUCCCGUGCAACCUCCUCCCUCCCCCUUGCUCAGCCGCUCAGCUCCGCCUGUCCGCCCCCCGCCAGCCCCGCCUCCUUUGGCUUGCUAUUGCUCGCUUGUUGUCCGGCCGCCCUGUCCCGCACUCCCGCUGUCCGCCCGUCGGCCUGUCCCACUGUCCGCUUGCUGUUGCUCGCUUGUUGUUGCCCUGCUGUCCCGCACUCCCACUGCCCCGUUGUUCCUCGCUUGCUGUUGCUUCAGCAGUUGCUCAAACAAACAGCUUUGCGUCUGUUCCUGUUCCUGUUGCUCGCUUGCUGAAGCCUCUGAACUCUCUCGGUGGCGCUUCAGAGCUGCUCCGCCCAUCCUAGAAGGCGGAGCGAAUGGUUGAUGGCGAAGCCGCGUCUACGAGGUUGAAUUUUGGUGGCGGUCCUAGGGUUCGACUGGAAGGGGAAAAGGAGGCAACGACUGAAAACAAUGAUUUGCGGAAGAGAUGUGUACCAGUGAAUAUCCGCAAUGAGAGACAAGGUCUAACAUUUUACGCAAUCACAUCCGUGAUAUGCUGGACUAGUAAAUAAUAGUUUUUCCUUAUACCUUUUUGCGUAUCCGCAGUCAUGUUUGGAGUUGCUUGAGUCAGCCUUAGGCUGUCCGCGGCAGAUCGUGUAAAAUAGCGAAUUUGUACGAUAGAUUACACUGUUUACUCCCUCCGUUCCACAAUAGAAGUCAUAUAAGACUUUUAACAAAUUCGUUCAAUAAUUAAUAUGUAUGUUUUGUA